AGAGGUCUGUUACAACAGGGCAGGGCAUCAUCCUCCUAAACAAUGAACCCAGUGGAACAUCUGCCCACUGAGAGGUCUGUUACAACAGGGCAUCAUCAUCCUCCUAAACAAUGAACCCAGUGGAACAUCUGCCCACUGAGAGGUCUGUUACAACAGGGCAGGGCAUCAUCCUCCUAAACAAUGAACCCAGUGGAACAUCUGCCCACUGAGAGGUCUGUUACAACAGGGCAGGGGAUCAUACUCCUCCUAAACAAUGAACCCAGUGGAACAUCUGCCCACUGAGAGGUCUGUUACAACAGGGCAUCAUCAUCCU